rnacentral:rRNA from 1 species
GACGAACGCUGGCGGCGUGCUUAACACAUGCAAGUCGAACGGAAAGGCCCUGCUUUUGUGGGGUGCUCGAGUGGCGAACGGGUGAGUAACACGUGAGUAACCUGCCCUUGACUUUGGGAUAACUUCAGGAAACUGGGGCUAAUACCGGAUAGGAGCUCCUGCUGCAUGGUGGGGGUUGGAAAGUUUCGGCGGUUGGGGAUGGACUCGCGGCUUAUCAGCUUGUUGGUGGGGUAGUGGCUUACCAAGGCUUUGACGGGUAGCCGGCCUGAGAGGGUGACCGGCCACAUUACGACUGAGAUACGGCCCAGACUCCUACGGGAGGCAGCAGUGGGGAAUAUUGCACAAUGGGCGGAAGCCUGAUGCAGCAACCCCGCGUGCGGGAUGACGGCCUUCGGGUUGUAAACCGCUUUCGCCUGUGACGAAGCGUGAGUGACGGUAAUGGGUAAAGAAGCACCGGCUAACUACGUG